UACGAGAGGCCCAAACGUUAUUCGGAUUUACUGGGCUUAAAGCGUUCGUAGGCGGCGCAGAAAGUAGGGUGUGAAAGCCCUCGGCCUAACCGAGGAAUUGCGCUCUAAACUACUGUGCUUGAGGAAUCUAGAGGUGAGCGGAACUGAUGGUGGAGCGGUGAAAUGCGUUGAUAUCAUCAGGAACACCGGAGGCGAAGGCGGCUCACUGGACUGGUACUGACGCUGAGGCGCGAAAGCGUGGGGAGCAAACGGG
rnacentral:rRNA from 1 species